rnacentral:tRNA from 1 species
AAAUGGCUAGCUCAGUCGGUAGAGCAUGAGACUCUUAAUCUCAGGGUCGUGGGUUCAUGCCCCACGUUGGGUGCCAUUUG